AGCUUUGCACAGUGGCAGAAUCAGAACCAAUGGGGUUUAGCGGAGGUGUGAUUAUUGCUAAUUGAAAACUUUUCCAAUUAAA
ensembl:snRNA U4 U4 spliceosomal RNA